GACAGAGGGUGCAAACGUUGUUCGGAAUUACUGGGCGUAAAGAGCUCGUAGGUGGUUUGUCGCGUUGUCCGUGAAAACUCACAGCUCAACUGUGGGCGUGCGGGCGAUACGGGCAGACUGGAGUACUGCAGGGGAGACUGGAAUUCCUGGUGUAGCGGUGGAAUGCGCAGAUAUCAGGAGGAACACCGGUGGCGAAGGCGGGUCUCUGGGCAGUAACUGACGCUGAGGAGCGAAAGCGUGGGGAGCGAACAGG
rnacentral:rRNA from 1 species